CCUACGGGGGGCUGCAGUGGGGAAUAUUGGACAAUGGGGGGAACCCUGAUCCAGCCAUGCCGCGUGUGUGAAGAAGGCCCUCGGGUUGUAAAGCACUUUCAGUGAGGAAGAACGCCUGGUGGUUAAUACCCAUCAGGAAAGACAUCACUCACAGAAGAAGCACCGGCUAACUCCGUGCCAGCAGCCGCGGUAAUACGGAGGGUGCGAGCGUUAAUCGGAAUUACUGGGCGUAAAGCGCGCGUAGGUGGCUUGAUAAGCCGGUUGUGAAAGCCCCGGGCUCAACCUGGGAACGGCAUCCGGAACUGUCAAGCUAGAGUGCAGGAGAGGAAGGUAGAAUUCCCGGUGUAGCGGUGAAAUGCGUAGAGAUCGGGAGGAAUACUAGUGGCGAAGGCGGCCUUCUGGACUGACACUGACACUGAGGUGCGAAAGCGUGGGUAGCAAACAGGAUUAGAUACCCGAGUAGUC
rnacentral:rRNA from 1 species